rnacentral:rRNA from 1 species
UACGAAGGGGGCUAGCGUUGUUCGGAUUUACUGGGCGUAAAGCGCACGUAGGCGGUUUGUUAAGUCAGGGGUGAAAUCCCAGAGCUCAACUCUGGAGCUGCCUCUGAUACUGGCAAGCUAGAGUCCGGAAGAGGUAAGUGGAACUCCUAGUGUAGAGGUGGAAUUCGUAGAUAUUAGGAAGAACACCAGUGGCGAAGGCGGCUUACUGGUCCGGAACUGACGCUGAGGUGCGAAAGCGUGGGGAGCAAACAGGAUAGA